rnacentral:rRNA from 1 species
UUUCCUACGGGAGGCAGCAGUGUGGAAUAUUGGACAAUGGGGGAAACCCUGAUCCAGCCAUGCCGCGUGAAUGAUGAAGGCCUUCGGGUUGUAAAGUUCUUUUGGUAGGGACGAUGAUGACGGUACCUACAGAAUAAGCUCCGGCUAACUUCGUGCCAGCAGCCGCGGUAAUACGAAGGGAGCUAGCGUUGUUCGGAAUUACUGGGCGUAAAGGGUGCGUAGGCGGUUUAAUUAGUCAGAUGUGAAAGCCCCGAGCUCAACUCGGGAACUGCGUUUGAUACUGUUAAGCUAGAAUUCGGAAGAGGUGAGUGGAAUUCCCAGUGUAGAGGUGAAAUUCGUAGAUAUUGGGAAGAACACCGGUGGCGAAGGCGGCUCACUGGUCCGACAUUGACGCUGAGGCACGAAAGCGUGGGGAGCAAACAGGAUUAGAUACCCUUGUAGUCU